UACGUAGGGCGCGAGCGUUGUCCGGAAUUAUUGGGCGUAAAGAGCUCGUAGGCGGCCUGUUGCGUCCGCUGUGAAAUCCCGGGGCUCAACCCUGGGCGUGCAGUGGAUACGGGCGGGCUGGGAUUCGGUAGGGGAGACUGGAAUUCCUGGUGUAGCGGUGAAAUGCGCAGAUAUCAGGAGGAACACCGGUGGCGAAGGCGGGUCUCUGGGCCGAUAUCGACGCUGAGGAGCGAAAGCGUGGGGAGCGAACAGG
rnacentral:rRNA from 1 species